GACGAACGCUGGCGGCGUGCUUAACACAUGCAAGUCGAACGGAAAGGCCCUGCUUUUGUGGGGUGCUCGAGUGGCGAAAGGGUGAGUAACACGUGAGUAACCUGCCCUUGGCUUUGGGAUAUCUGCAGGAAACUGGGGCUAAUACCUGAUAGGAGCUCCUGCUGCAUGGUGGGGUUUGGAAAGUUUCGGCGGUUGGGGGUGGACUCGCGGCUUGUCAGCUUGUUGGUGGGGUAGUGGCUUACCAAGGCAUUGACGGGUAGCCGGCCUGAGAGGGUGACCGGACACAUUGGGACUGAGAUACGGCCGCAGCUGCGACGGGAGGCAGAAGUGGGGAAGAUUGCACAAGGGGCGGCGCCCUGAUGAAGAAGCGCCGCGUGCGGGAUGACGGCCUUCGUGUUGUAGACGGCUUUCGCCUGUGACGAAGCGUGAGUGACGGUAAUGGGUAAAGAAGCACCGGCUAACUACGUG
rnacentral:rRNA from 1 species